CCGAUUUCCAUCUUUAAUUUCCCAAUUCAGGUCUCCAGAUCCAGAACUAGACAUAGAAGAAAAAAAACCUCUUGCACAACGUCUUUCACAACAUAAAACUGAACAAAAUGCUUUGCUGAAUACCAACAAGUCUCACUUUGAUUGGGCAUCUAAUAGCCCUAAUAAUCGGAUCCCAAUCACUAAAGUAAAGUAUAUUUUACCAAGGUAAUAUUUAUACAAUUUUGGUUUUGACAUGCUUUAACUCAGUGU